rnacentral:sRNA from 1 species
GUCGGGUGUGGAGGUGCACACCUGUAAUCCCAGUAGCUCUGGAGGCUGAGGCAGGAGGCUUAUGAGUUCAAAGCCAGCCUCAG